AAACCAUAGGUGAACUAUGCCACCUUCAUCGAAGAAAUUCCUCGUGUAACAUUACACGUGGUGUAGACAUUACAGCACCCAAUAAAUGUUAUAAGUUAUUCUUCAUAUCUUUCUGACAAAAGAAGCUUUAAUAUGACCUUCCAUGUGGUGCAGACAAUACAGCACCCAAAAAACAUGCCCCACAUAUUACAUUGGAAGUUAGAGGGCGAUUAUACAAGGAUAUGGUUCGACUUUGAUAUAAAUUACAUUACAUGGCUUCAAGUAAUAAAUAAUUAGUGAUACAUGAUAAUAUUAUGUUCAUAAUGAGAGUAUUGUGAUAAAGAUAUAAUAGUAUUAAGUAAGAUCA